AUCUAGCCAGUUGUAUUGCUCUGAACACUACUAAAAGUUGCCUGGGAUUUUUAGUACUGAGGUCAUGAGGAAAACAUGAAAAGGAUGGUGUUGCGGUGCUCAAUGGCUCGUCGUCUUAUGUAAACUGGUGCAAACAGGUACCAAAGAUUUCCUCUUACUUUGAGGAAAACUAUACUUCUCGAAGCUGAAGACUGAAAAUGCACAUGUCUGAGAAGCUGAUUGAUUUCCUCUUAUUUUUCUCUUUGUUCACAUGUCUGAGAUUUAUGGGUCCAAGUUCACACAAAAUGCAUCUUAUUGUUCCGUUGAGAUGCACCCUACUAAGUAGUCUUACACCAGGGAGAAGACAAACACAAUAAUUUGUUUUAUGUAAUUCUUGAUGCAAAACUGCUCAAUGUUUUCGCUACCAGCAGAAGACAUGGGGAUGAUAGCGAAUCAUUGAGUAAUAAUCAAGAUCAGCUAGAUGUAUAAACCUGCCUCAUUGUGGCUGUGCGGAGACAUCCAUGAUGAUGAGUCUCUCAUGUGACCAUGAGUUCCACCUCGGUAAGGGGGCAUGGAUCGAUUGAUUCAUAGUCGAGCCUCUCGUGCUUAUCAUAAUUUUCAUAACUGACUGAACGGAUUCGUGAAUCUGUUGUUGCUUUUGGUAGGAGAAUAUUAGGCAAAGUAGUGUCUCAAGCCGGCAGGAUUAGGAGCUGAAGGAGUGAGUGGGUAUAGUCCAUGAGUGAAAAGGUAUCUUCACAAGAAGCUACUCAUAACUGACUCAACGGAUUCGCGAAUCUGUUGUUGCUUUUGGUAGGAGAAUAUUAGGCAAAGUAGUGGCUCAAGCCGACAUGAUUAGGAGCUGAAGGAGUGAGUGGGUAUAGUCCAUGAGUGAAAA
rnacentral:lncRNA from 1 species